GUGAAAGCGUUGAUGAGGAGAAGUAAAAAGAAUCAGCAUGCCAGAGAGAACCACCUUGGCUGGAAGUGGUUUAUGUUUGAUUCUUUUGAAAUGCACCUCGGAGUCUCCUUUCGAACCAGAGACGUUCUGUAGUAGAAUGGAGCGGAUCCCCUUCCGUUAUAAGGGCAAGAGUGAGCCUUCGGCUAAACAGAGUGGAACCGCGCAACCAAGCGUCUCUGUG
rnacentral:ncRNA from 1 species